UACGGAGGGAGCUAGCGUUGUUCGGAAUUAUUGGGCGUAAAGCGCGCGCAGGCGGUCCUUUAAGUCUGAUGUGAAAGCCCACGGCUCAACCGUGGAGGGUCAUUGGAAACUGGGGGACUUGAGUGCAGAAGAGGAAAGCGGAAUUCCACGUGUAGCGGUGAAAUGCGUAGAGAUGUGGAGGAACACCAGUGGCGAAGGCGGCUUUCUGGUCUGUAACUGACGCUGAGGCGCGAAAGCGUGGGGAGCAAACAGG
rnacentral:rRNA from 1 species